rnacentral:rRNA from 1 species
GAUGAACGCUGGCGGCGUGCCUAAUACAUGCAAGUCGAGCGAACAGAUGAGGAGCUUGCUCCUCUGACGUUAGCGGCGGACGGGUGAGUAACACGUGGAUAACCUACCUAUAAGACUGGGAUAACUUCGGGAAACCGGAGCUAAUACCGGAUAAUAUAUUGAACCGCAUGGUUCAAUAGUGAAAGACGGUUUUGCUGUCACUUAUAGAUGGAUCCGCGCCGCAUUAGCUAGUUGGUAAGGUAACGGCUUACCAAGGCAACGAUGCGUAGCCGACCUGAGAGGGGAAUGGGCCACCCGGAAAUGAGAACACGUUCCAAACUCCUCCGGAGGGAGGCGGUGGGAAUCCUGCCGCAAUGGGCGAAGGCCUAACGAGGCAACGCGGGGUGGGUGAUAAGGGUCUUCGGAUCGUAAAACUCUUUAAUUAGGAAGGAACAAAUGGGUAGGUAACUAUGCACGUUUGGCCGGACCCUAUUAGAAAGGCCACGGCAACUACGUG